AUGUAUAUUAUGUAUGCGUGUGUACAUAUAUAUUUGCCUUUGGCUGUAUAUCGGAAGCCACUGUAGGAAAAGGAUUGGGUAGAUUAUCAUUCCAUUUUCGGGGAACUAAAACCAAAUCUAAAUAAGUGGCCUGCGAUAUCUAAUAUUUUCAGAAACUGUGGAAACUAGGGACGCCCGCAAGGACUUGUACAGGGUUCCCAGAGGACGGAAGCAUUUCUGGUCGGAUGGUUUAAACCGUUACUCCCACUUCUUCACAUGUAAAAGGUAGAAACUGAAAAUAUGGAAAGAUGAAGUAAUAUAAGAAGACGUGAAGAAAACCUUAGGAAAAGAGAUGGAAGACUGUACAAGAGGAAAUAGAAAAGGCAAGAUCAGAAUAUGUCUAGGAAAAAGUAAUCCCAUGAAAACCAAAGGAAAAUAAUUCCAAUAAAAGGGAUAUGAUAAAUGUAAAAUAGUUCAGAGAAGUCACUACUUACAAAGUGUUUGCCCUACCAAAGGCUAUCACUGAAAAUGGACUAAAUGCUCAUUCUCUUAUUUCUACCACAUCAUCCUUAUUCUCUUCCAGUCAACUUCAAAUACUCUCCAGAAAAAAUAAAACAAUAUUAAUUUUAAA